rnacentral:tRNA from 2 species
AGGAGAGUAGCUCUAACGGUAGAGCGACCGGCUGUUAACCGGGAGGUUGCAGGUUCGAAUCCUGCUACCCCUGCCA